CACGUAGGGGGCAAGCGUUGUCCGGAUUUAUUGGGCGUAAAGAGCUCGUAGGUGGUUCGGUAAGUCAGGUGUGAAACCUCCAGGCUCAACCUGGAGACGCCACUUGAUACUGCUGUGACUGGAGUCCGGUAGGGGAGCGUGGAAUUCCUGGUGUAGCGGCGAAAUGCGCAGAUAUCAGGAGGAACACCAGCGGCGAAGGCGGCGCUCUGGGCCGGUACUGACGCUGAGGUGCGAAAGCGUGGGGAGCAAACAGG
rnacentral:rRNA from 1 species